UUUUCUUUCUCUUCUUUUCUCCCUCGCAUGAGGACUUUGUUCUUCCUCGUUGCAAAAAAGCGCUUUGCCGGUACCAAACACUUUUUCGUCCAUCGAUAUAGUCGAGUGCAGCGGUGACCGAGGGAAUCUGAUGACGCCGAGGGUGGAGUCUUCCACGUGUAUAGGGUAACGAACGUGGUAAAUCCAGAUCGUUUUAGAGACGACAUAAGCAAAAACAAGAGACUGGAAAAGAACGGGUAACGCACUUGCGAAAUCAGACACCGUGUGCUGACGUCGCCCGUUUCGCUGGCAGCACGUGACUCGCCCCACUGAAUUUGUCACAAAAUUGAAACGGUGGAUAAACUCCGAGAAAAUUCUUCGAUUCUGUCGCAUUCGAGAGUGGACUGGGAAUGCGCUAAUAAACAGGGGAAAGACUGCUCCGGGAAGUGUCGUCCUGCCCGGAGGGACUAGUCUACGGCCGCUAUUGAACAGAGGAAUGAAGUGAAAGAACACCGGGGCACUGGAGGUUUGAACUCAGCUGGAUGUACACGGCAGGCCUUCAGGUACGCAGACAUGAUAAAGAUGCUAUAUUUGCUUUUUGUCUCUGCCUCCUUUGUAUUCGCGGUGUGUGCUUAGGAGUGGAGUCACGGCUCCUUCGCCAACACGAGGGAGAACGGAAGAGUUAGCAAAGUACAAUGCAAUAUAAAAGAGUAGUGGUGAUCGUCGGACCCUAUUGAGAAAUCUGAAGAAAGAGGGCCCAUGUUGUGGGUUUCCGUGACUUGGGCAUCGAAGGAUCGCUUCCCAAGGAGUGUACGGCAUUCCUGUGAAAAGCUGUUGGCUGUGGUGGGUUGGCGUCUUCUCCGAAGUCCCACAACUUAGAGGUGGCUGUAGGCGAAGAGAUGGCCUUUUGUCUCAGUUUCAACUCUAAAACAUUGUCACGUUUCAGUUUAGGGGAAUUCUUGUCGUUCUCUGGACGCUUCACCUCUUCGUUGGGCUUCCUGGGAACACGUCUUGUUAGCACUUGAUGCGGGGUGAUCGUGUGCUUCAGUAAGAAUGUCGAAAUCGAGGUGCAUCCACAGUAUCGCACAUAUCUCUACAAGUCAAGCGUUAUAAGCAGAAGAGACCUUGCUUCAUCGCUGAGCGUCAAGUCCGUCCACCACGACAGGCAACUUCGAAGUGAAACCCCUUUUCACGGAGCACCAUGUGUCAACGACCCGUUUCUGUCAAGUCCAGCGAUCGUCGAUCUGCGUCAUUCUUGAUCAACGGUGCAGGCGCUCUCUUGUUCGAGUAGGGUGCUGCCCUUCGGCAUUUCGAACAAACAGCCGUGCGAGAAAGCCUGAGACAGCGAAGAUCUUGGUCUUUGCAGAACUGGUGCGUGCCAGGCCGGCUUCAAAGAGAUGCCGAAGUGGCCACUAUCGCUCACGUACUUACCUUACUAGAAGAUUUUUCGCGUAGACGUUCGCGGCGUGUAACAUGGUCAAGGGGAACUGUGUGCCUGGAUCGAUCGAUCGAUGCUGACUUCAUCUCUGGAACUUCGCAUGACAGCUGUAAGGAUCCGCCAUCCAGAACUG
rnacentral:lncRNA from 1 species